CAAGAAAGUGGCAUACUUACUAGUGUAGGAUAAAAUAAUAAAAAGAGGAUAUUCACAGAAGAAGAAGAGGGAGAUAUAACUAAAUAUCUGAUUCAAUCUAGCCAAAUUUUUUAUGGCCUUUCAAUUAAAAAGAUAAAAAUAUUAGCCUACCAAAUGGCAGUAAAUAUGAAGAAAAAAUUUCCUAAAUCUUGGAAGGACAAUUCAAUGGCUGGCCAUGACUGGUAUUUAGGAUUUAUGUCAAGAAAUCCUACUCUCUCCUUAAGAUCCCCUGAAGCUACAAGUAUGGCUAGGGCAACUGGAUUUAAUGAAGAAAAUGUUCUAUACUUUUUUGAUUUAUAUAAAAGAAUAUUAGAUGAACAUAAAUUAGAAUGUAUGGCAAUUUACAACAUGGAUGAAACUGG